AAAGGACUUGAGAACCAUAUCUAGUGGUCUGACAGAUUUUGGUGGGUCAGGUACAAAGAACUGGAAGCCAGCCAAUCUGCUACCAUAGUCACUGCCAACCAUCACCUCUGUUGCUCCUACCAGGUGUACAUGAAACGAAGACUUUAUUUCAUGAAGAGUGGAUGUUCUGAAACUUCGUUUUGGAGUGAAGUUCUCCUCGGCUUCCUCGAAUGCAGCUUUGUUGAUGUUGAUACUAACGAUAACCCUGAUUUUGGUUUUGUAAACUAAAUCAAAUAUAAGUGAAGUGCUCAUGUCUUUAAGCAACUUCUGAGAACAGUGUGAAGACUGAGUACCCACAGAACUAAAAGCGUCUGGUGGAAGACUCACAGCAAAGCUGAAAGAAAGUAGUGAGGGCAGCUGUCUUCCUUUUCAUGUGAAAGCAUUACUAAAACGUCAUAUGGUUAUUUAUGGUGGAGGUAGGAGCAGCAUACUGUACAGCUCAGCCAUUCAUGCUCAUGAAUAGAUUGCCACACUUCUCUUCAAGUCUGACUCCUCACGCAUGAAAACUGAACAUACUAAUGCCUCCAUUUUGUGGGACCAUAAAAGAGACUCAAAAUCAAAACUGCACUUGAAUGUUAUAGGAAACUUGGAAUUUUCUUUUUGUAAUAGACUCAUAAAAUAUUCAAUGGAUGGCUGUAUACAUGUCAGCCAAGCUAAUUUCCUCCUUGUUUGUUGGCAAUCACAAAUCCUUUGGGAUUCAAACUGGUGGAUUUCCUUGGUAAUACUGGCAUGAGUUCAUGUCUCAGUGCAACUGCAUAGAAGAAUGGAUCAUUUGUUAGGAAAAUUAGUGAUACAAAUACAGUUCUGAAACUAUGAA